GGGGCUAUAGCUCAGCUGGGAGAGCGCUUGCAUGGCAUGCAAGAGGUCAGCGGUUCGAUCCCGCUUAGCUC
rnacentral:tRNA from 1 species